AGUUCCUGAACCUCAACAAACUCAAGAGACAACUGAGUUGCCAACAGUCAGUCCUACUGAGGAGAAUGAGGUAACACUUGAUUCUCCAUAUUAUUUUACUAUUUAGUCCAAACGUCAAAUAUUUCAUUUGCCAGGCAAACCAAAUGCCAGGGCCUUUUAUUUAUUUAUUUAUUUAUUUAUUUAUUUAUUUAUUUAUUCAUUUAUUUAUUCAUUUAUUUAUUCAUUUAUUUAUUCAUUUAUUUAUUCAUUUAUUUAUUCAUUUAUUUAUUUAUUUAUUUAUUUACUCAUUUAUCAAAAUAAAUUAGUAAACCGGUCGUUCUCAUAGGCGAAAUUAUGAUAAAUUGAAUAUAUUUGUAAAGAAAUAUAAAAAUACAUUAAAAUAAAUAUAAAAAAAUUAAUAAAAUAUUUAAAUUUUUACGUUCUUAAUAAAAUACAAAUCAAUGUUUUGAAAGUAAAAAUAUAUUUACAAAGAAAUAUAAAAAUACAUUAAAAUAAAUAUAAAAAUAAAUUAAUAAACCUAAUAAAAUAUUUAAAACUUUGAAAGUAAAACAAAAAAUAAAUUUAAAUCUUCAGAUCAAAAUUAAAUUUAAAAAUAUAGAAAUUGAAAAACAUUUGUAUGGCGAACUUUGAAAUUGAUUUGCGAUUUCACUAUUAAAGCAAUCCGUCGUGCCCUGGCCGGUCGUUCUCAUUAGAAAAUAUUUCACAAAAUGAAAUGUUGCAAGCGGCCGGUUGUUCUCAUAGCCGCUAUAUCCCUCUAUGAAUACGAUGUACUUCAUAUUCUUUUGUAAUAUUAGUGGAUCCAAUAUAGUCCCACGACAUGAAUAUGGUACAUAUAGCUCACCGCUGACCGGGGCGCACCCAGUGGGCGCACCUAUAAUUUCAGUAAUUCCCGCCACUUUCCGCCAUUGUGAUUUGUGUCGCGUUUAUGCAAACACAGAAAUUUUACAACAAAGAGUCGACAUUUACUUAACCUAUUUACAUCGUAAUGCCUCCUAAAAGAAAUCAAGCAUGGGCUGAACUACACAACAAAAUGAAAAGCAAGCGAAGCAAGGAUCAACGAGUAAAGAAGACUGGUUCCGCACCGCAUGAACUAAUCGUGCAGCGUCUGGUAGCCGAACCAGAUCACAAGCAAACGUACGAAGCAGUCCAACCACGAGAGUUUGUGGCCUACGAAUAUGAGGAUUUGACCCUAACAAAUCUUAAAAAAGCUUGUGCAGCUCAUUUUCACCUUCCCGCGAGCUCGUGCGACGUAUUGGUAACGAAUAAAGGGCCUUCUUGUACGAAUAUUAACCAAAUUCCGCACAGGAAGGACAAGGUAUAAAAGACUUUUUUGUAUUUUGUUUUACAUGCGCACCAUCGCACCCAACCCCAAGGGCUUUGGACUCUACCUCUAGAGUCGAAUUGAGAAAUGCUUUACACAAUUUAUUUCUAUUACGUCUGCGAGUACAAAAUGGAAAUAUCAAGAAGGAAAUUAUAAAACAUGUGAUAUCUUCUAUCACAGUGAUGUACUAGCCAGAUGGCGGGUGUGGUUGUGCCCCCCCCCGCCCGCCCCCUCUAGUAAAAUAUUGGGGCCCCUUGGGAAGAUUCAGACCAGUACAAGCAUGUACAUUAUAUUUUCGUUUCUUGUAAUGGAAAUUCAAUAUUUUCCUAUGAUUUUAAUUAAUGCUCUGGAUUUGUUGGUGAUUAAGUGGAGUUGUUAUGUGUUAAAUAGCACAUUGAAAAUGGCACUUUACCCAAUCUAGAAUUCAAACAUUUUCCCGGGGCAGCAUACCCCAGACCCCCCUAAAAUAUUAUGCAUGGAUAGCAUGAGACUCCAAAUACACUUUAUUCGAACUACCACAGGGUAAAAUUGCUUGGGCCCCUCCUGGUCUCCCCCCCCCUCUUUGAAAUUGGGUUGAGGGCAUUUUCAUCCAUGUUGUAUUUGUUGUAUGGUUGUAUGAAGAUUCGCUUGUAGAAUAAUGGUGUUGAAGCACUAAAUUAUUUGGUUAAUAAUUUUCAUGACAUUAAAUUAAUAUUAUCAUUUUCCUUCUAUCAAGUUUACCUUGUGCGGUUUAUGGUCACUGAACAAUUAGGUGAUGGGUAUCCAGAUAGCCCAGAGGUUUCAGAGCCUAAGGAUGUGGUGUUUUCUCAGUCAAUAAAUGUCAGUAAGACACCAGACACCGAGGAAACUCGCUAUCCAAAUUCUGUUUCAAUAGAAUUGUUGCUAAAAGCUGGACAACUUGUAAAACCGAAGGUGAAGAAUCAAGUAUCAUUAAGAUUAGAAAAGUUCCAUCUUGAUGAGCAAGAAUGGGUGUCUUUAGCAAACUCUCUUGAUUUAUUGGUGGAUGGAGAGAAAUUUUCUUCUAGUGGAUUCAGGGAUGCAUUUCUUGGAGUGACAAAAGAUAAAGAAAAAUGGGUAAUCAAGAAGUACCAUGAAAGGGCUGUCAAUACAAUAACAGGUACACUUAAUUCGACUCUUGAAGACCACACACGAAAGCAAGUACAAAUGCAUUCGGUUGCGAGGCAUUUAACUAAAGUGUUUAGCAACAAAGUCCCGCAAGAAUUUGGCGAAUGCUUCACUUUUAACCGAGCUUACUACACGGUUUACCAAGGGCAACUUGCAACUGUAGAAGAAUUUGUGGAAGGAACAUUCCGAAAAUAUGUCAACAACAAUGGAAAAGUGUGUAGACCGGAGGUUGGUUACAGUACUCUAUUUUUUAGUGAAUUUGUCAGUGUCAUAAUGUAGUAAACAUGUAUAUAUAUUAGGGGCCAUUCACAAAGGAAAUACGGCAAAAUGAUAGAUUCCCCCCCCCCCACCCCCUUCCCUUCCUUGUCCGUCCAAUAUUUGUUUAAUACAACAAAAAUAGAUACUUGUGUUUUGAUUUUUUUAAAUCAAACGUCCGGAUCGUUGAAUAGUACCCUCCCCCUAUGUCCGAAUUUGUCCGGAUUUCUCCAACCCCCUCCCCCCCCCCGCCUGGCUCGGACAUCCUUUAUGAAUGGCCCCUUAUGAAGUUGACAUAGAGUUCAGUGACAAAAUCAAAAUACACCAUUUAUAUGUAAUAAAAAAUAUACAACAUAUGGAUACAUAUGACUAUAUAUAACUUUUUAUAUUUGUACAUAUAGGUUUGCAGUGCUGAGAUGAUGACAAUCAUUGAGAAGACUGAAUGCCUAGUGCAUUACUCCCACAUUCAAAGUUCCAAGAAGCUCAUGCUUGUUGAUCUUCAAGGUGCAGGCUACCACCUUUAUGACACAGAAAUUGCAACAAGUGAAUUGCGUGCAGACAGUGGUGAAGCAUACUUUUGUUGUGGCAAUGUUUCCUUCAUAAGUAUUGAAGAAUUUAUGGAUACACAUAUCUGCAACAAGUUCUGUGAUAUGAUCAACACAAUCGAUACAAGCAGCCAAUGAACAAAAAGUUUGGACAGAAUUCUGGGACAGCACAGAUACUAUUUUGAAACUUGGCACUGUUUAGGUUUUAGUCUUCUGUUAAUUUAAAAAAAAACAACGUUUCCAUCUAGGUUAUUUCACAUUAUCAAAACACAAAGCAAUAGCAACAUACAUGUAAAGACAGUAAAACGUAAAAUAGAUUAAAGUUUAUAUAGAUUAAAGGCUGCAAUAUUUCUUAUGUUGCUCAGAAUGGAUGUUUUGCCAUUCCUUGUCUAUUUACAAAUGUUGAAACAAAUCACUACAAAAAUAAAUAUUAAUAUGAAUAUUAAUAAAUAUUAAUAAAAAUAAAUAUUAAUAUUUACAUUUUAUUAUUUACAUUUAUUUAUAUUUAUUAAUACUAAUAUUUAUUAAUAUUAAUAAAUAUUAAUAUUUACAUGUAAUAUGUCUUAUGUUGCUCAGAAUGGAUGUUUUGUCAUUCCUUGUCUAUUUACAAAUGCUGAAACAAAUCACUACCCAGUCGCUAGUUGUAUGUAUACAUGUGUAGCAUUUUUGUAGACUUGUAUAGACAGCAUGCAGGCUACUGUAUACAUCAGGUGCUCUCACUAACUCCUGAUAAACUGGCUGAUGGCUCUUUGUAAUGUGCCUUCAGAAAUAAAUAAGCUGUUGCAGCAUCAUUUGGCUUUACAUCAUUAAUUGCGGGUAUAAUACUUUCACAUUCUUCUCUCACAGCAUGAGUUAAAUAAUCAUCCCCAACACUCAUGACUUCAGAGAGAUUGGCUACCUCAUCAACUGCUUCUUUGCUUACACUGAAACCUGUUAAUCAGAGAUAACUGAAUUUAUAUAAUUAAUGUCGUAUAUGGUAUAUGAAUAUAUCAAGCUAGCAAUUGAACAGUUUUGAUUGAACCAAAUGCAUACAAUACAUACCACAUUGUUCAGCUUCAUAUUGCUCAGGAAAUGCAUAUAAAUGUUUUGGUAUUCCCUUGGGUACCUGAGCAUCCUUCUGGCACCUUACUCUAUGCGAGUUCCAUAUAGUUUCUCUGAACACCUCCAGUUCUUUUCCAAUUAUUGGUAUAUAAACAAAUGCCAACAAAUCUCUGUUAAGGAAAAUAGACUUGCUUAAGGUGGCUCCCUAAUGUUGUGCCUAUUUGCCCAACAUCGUUAUAGUACAGGCGUGUUAAUGCAGAUCGUGCAUUCUUUGGUACUUGGAUCUAAUAUCAGUGGAACAUAUAUGAGCUCUCAGUUUUGACAAUGUCACUGUUGCCAUGGCGACAUGAUGAGCUAUAUUAGCCACAAAAUUUUCUUUAUCUGAAAAAUAAAGUCAGCGGCCUAUCUUUUUUAUUACAUAUAUCAAUAGAGCAUGAUUUUCUGUAACUAUUGAGAAACAUAGACGGAUUUUCAUAUAUUUUACUGGGGUGGUGCCAGAAAUUUUAGGGGGGGGGGGUGAGCCGUGAGCAGGUGACUGAAGCAACACAAAGUGUCACCAAACCCCAGUAAGGUCUAUAUUCUAGGGGUGGAGCACUAGAGCCGCGAGGGGGAGUUUAAAACAAAGAAGCAGAAAAAGGAGCAGAAAACAAAGUAUCCCUGGAAAAAUUUGAAAAAAAUCAUGAUUUCUAGCUACGAAAAAACGUUUUUUGAAGUUGUCAUAUCAAUGGAUUUGGCCUGUCCGAUUGUCUGUUGAGACUUGAGAGAGUUAAAGUUAAAUGAACCUGUAAAAGUGUAAACCCAAUCGGCCAAUACACAAUAUGCUUUUACUUUUAUAAAGUCAUUGACAUUGUGUCGUUUGAAUCAGAGUACAAUUUAUGAUGCAACUCCGAUGUAAAUAAUAUUUGGGGCGUAAAGAUUAAAUCUAGGCAAGACUAUUUCCUAAAAGAAUUAAAAAAUAAAAAUAAUGUUCGUAAAAAUUGCAAACGUUCCUUGAUAGCAAGCUAUUUACAUGACACAAUUGUUCCAAUAAAUCAGUGAAUGCAAGCGAGGAGCAAUUACUUUCAGAGUAUUGCACUGUCCUUUUCUAUUUGAGUGUACUCCUACGUUUAUUUUGUAUCACCAACACUCUGCACGUUGGAGUGGACUAUUUAAUUAUUUUUUAUUAUGCUGAAUAUUGGGGGGGGGGGUGAAAAUGUUUUUGGAGGGCUGGACAUUUUGUUUUGGGGGGGGGUUAUAGCUAAUAUUGGGGGGGGGUAGCAUCCCCUACACCCCCACAAAAUCCGUCUAUGUUGAGAAAGUUUAAAAAAUUCUUUAGAGCGCGCUUUUGUUAAAAGCGAAAAUUUUAUAACAAGAUUUCCACACUAAAGAAUUUUUAAAAAAUUGAAAUAUAUAAAAUUUACUAAAUUUAAAAUUUGUUGUAAAAAUUUGAAGAUAGGCUACCGAUGAAAAUAAUGAGUUUUUAAAUCAAUGGUCUGUUAUUUGCAAUAACCACAUUUAUUACCCACUCACGUACUGGCAAUCUCUGGUAGCAAUAACCAGAAUAGAAUGAAAGCAGCACUACCUAUCAGUUUGAUUGUGCUGAUCAUAGUGGCCUUGCUCUAAUAACUUUAGUAACUGCCUCUUGAAAUACUUUUCAAGACGAUGGUGUAACUCGCGCCACCAACGAUCAAUCUGCAACAAAAAUGACAUUGUACUGUAUUUAUACAUACACUUGCUGUAUAUAAUGUAUAUAUAUAUACAUAUAUAUAUAUAUAUAUAUAUAUAUAUAUAUAUAUAUAUAUAUAUAUAUAUAUAUAUAUAUAUAUAUAUAUAUAUAUAUAUAUAUAUAAAUAUCAAGAAAUCAUAAACUUCAAAGUAAAUAAAUUAUAUUUUACGUUUCGGGGACAAGCCCCUUCUUCAGAAUAACGCUACAUCAUCUCCGUCUCUUGCUUAAAUAGUCUAACGUUUUGCUAUACAUAAAUUAAUUACACCUCUUCCCUUAAAUUAAGCCCACGUGGAACAUAGCUAUUAAGUUUCUCAAUCCAAAAGCUCUCCCUCUCAGUGGGGUUAUUAACGUCCGUGACGUCAAUAACCUGCACUAAAAAAUCACUUAGACCUGAAUGUCCCUCCCCCCAAAAAUGGGCAUAUAAUUGUUGCCCACAAAUAUUUCUCUGCCCCCGCCCAUAUCUAUUUAAUGCACUCUUGUGGUUAUUAAAUCGCAAUCUGAACGGAGUUAUGGUAUUCCCAACAUAUUGCAACCCACAGAAUUUACAACUAAUCAAAUACACUAUACCCUCCGAGUCACAAUCGAAGCGAUGAUUAAUGCAGAAAGACCGCCCCUCAACAUGGCUUUUAAAAGUAGCACCAAUGAUAACAUUGUCACAGAUUUUACAUUUCUUCUUUCCGCACUUAAUAUAUAUAUAUAUAUAUAUAUAUAUAUAUAUAUAUAUAUAUAUAUAUAUAUAUAUAUAUAUAUAUAUAUAUAUAUAUAAUAUAUAUAUAUAUAUAUAUUAUAUAUAUAUACACACUAAACACAAUGCACAUAUAGCUAGGAAGAACAAGGCACAGGGCAAGGGCACUGUCAAUUGCAGUUGUUCGAAAAACACAAUAUGCCCUCUUCAGAAACAAUGCAUGACUAAGGACAUAGUAUACAAAGCAACAGUCACAACAAGCAACCCCAACACGACCAUGAAUUAUAUUGGCAUGACAUCAACUACAUUUAAAGAGCGUUUGGCUAACCAUAACUAUACUUUCGAGCAUAAAGAGCAUUCAAACAAAACUGAGCUUUCGAAAUAUAUUUGGACAUUGAAAGAUAGCAAGAAAGAUUUUAAUAUCAAUUGGCAAAUUUUGAAACGCGCUAUUUCGUAUACGGGAGGAUCAAAACGAUGUAAUUUAUGUUUAGAAGAAAAAUUUUGUAUUUUGAAAGAAAACCAAAACUGUUUACUCAAUAAAAGAAUGGAAAUUAUAUCUACGUGCAGACAUAGGAAGAAAUUUCGCGUAAACAACGCAAACAAUACACUCCCACAACUCGAUUAGGCAUUUCCGCGUAAACAACGCAAACAAUAGAUGAAUGCAUGCUUUGUUUCACCCACACACCCCCACGUUCCGGCCAAAACACAUAUAAGCAGUCCUAUUUUUCGACACUAGUCAUACCGCCUGAUGAUUCUUUACUGAUGAAACAGACUGUUGCGGAAUUUUGAGGUAAGCGAAAUUCUACAUUUGCUCUAUCUUUAUGAUAUUGAGCACUCUUUGCGUUUGGUAUUCAUAAACCUACUCGUACAUAUAUAUAUAUAUAUAUAUAUAUAUAUAUAUAUAUAUAUAUAUAUAUAUAUAUAUAUAUAUAUAUAUAUAUAUAUAUAUAUAUAUAUAUAUAUAUAUAUAUAGUACUAUAUAUAUACUAAUAUAAUUAAAUUACCUUGUUGUUGGUUGAUGGUCCAUAAUCUACAGUGUCUUCACCAUUUUCAUUAUUCUCUUCAUCAUGAUGCUACCUCAGAAAUGCAUGGAUAGUGGCCAUAUGAUCAGUUUCAGUUCCAUUAUCAUUUAUCAAGCCUCAAGUGCUUACUUAUUACUGUUAAAUGAAGAAUAUGAAAAAAUUGCUUUAUGUGGUUUACCAGAUAAUUUAUAAAAAUGUGGCUGUACAAUAUGGUAAACUACUGCUCCUUGAGUGAUAUGAUAAACUAAAAAUACUUUACUGUACUGUACUUCUUGAUCUGUAUAAGUGUUCUAGGUGCCACCGUCCCACCAGCCUUGGGUCCGAGUUAGAGGUCCAAAGCUUCAAAUAUAUAACAUAGUUGCUAAACACGUCUUGUAGCCCAUAUACGGCAAGAGGAAAGGUGCCAUUCAUAAAGCCCAUAAGCUUAUCAUGCCCAUCUGCUGAAUGAGUGUGGUUGGAUCCCUAAAGGGUAGGACAAGAGGACAUUUAAGAUUUAAGAAUUAUCUAUGGGUGCACUGUUUUGGGUGAGUGGUUAUAAUUUAUUACCUGAAAAAACAAAUAGAAACUCGACGUUUCGAGCGAAGGCCCUUCGUCAAGAGUUAGACGGCCCAACGUCGAGUUUCUACUUUUUUUUCAGGAAGUAAUAUAACCACAUUGGUACUACUGUACGGCUGUACCUGCACUGGUACAGACAGUUUUAGUACUGUUUUAUAAGCUUACUUGGGGACCUUUAACAAAUGAUGCUUAAUAAUAUAAAAAAAAAUUUUUGAAGUGGUAUAGUCGCCGUCUAUAUGUAGUAAUUAAGUUUAAAAAUUCCAUACCAACGAUGUAAAAGUACCGGUGGCACCUCUUCUUCGUUUUUUCUCCCCAAUGUUCCCGCGGCGUUCCAGCCCUUCUGGAUCGACAUAACCCAUAAUGUCGUGACUCGUGUACUAGUAGAUCACGGGGUACAGCUAAGUUAUGUUGUUCUCUUAGUUUUCGCCGCAUUGCCCUAUAACCUAGUAAUUGUCCUGGACCCUCUAUCUCUUCACGCACUGCCCUUUCCACGUAUUCGAGCGGUGUAUCGUACCGAACGUACUUGACAUCAUAAAACGCUAACCGUCUGCUUAAAACUCCUAAGCUCCAGGCGUACUGCGCAAAAUCCCGGCGAACAAAAUCCAAAAUCUCUCUAUGUGAUAGGCUUUGUAUAACAUUUCGCUCUAGGAAAGACUUUAAAUCGUCGUCAUUUCCCCAAUCGUUAUUUCUUAUUCCUUCGGCCAUCUUUCUUUUUUUGGGUUACCGCUGUCACAAUUAUCGCGGGCUAUGAGAACAACCGGCCGCUUGCAACAUUUCAUUUUGUGAAAUAUUUUCUAAUGAGAACGACCGGCCAGGACACGACGGAUUGCUUUGAUAGUCAAAUCGCAAAUCAAUUUCAAAUUCGCCAUACAAAUGUUUUUCAAUUUCUAUAUUUUUCAAUUUAAUUUUGAUCUGAAGAUUUAAAUUUAUUUUUUGUUUUACUUUCAAAGAUUUAAAUAUUUUAUUAGGUUUAUUAAUUUAUUUUUAUAUUUAUUUUAAUGUAUUUUUAUAUUUCUUUGUAAAUAUAUUUUUACUUUCAAAACAUUGAUUUGUAUUUUAUUUAGAACGUAAAAUUUUAAAUAUUUUAUUAGUUUAUUAAUUGUUUUUUUUAUAUUUAUUUUAAUGUAUUUUACAUUUCUUUAUAAAUAUAUUCAAUCUAUCAUAAUUUCGCCUAUGAGAACGACCGGCCACCAUAAACAACUAUAUAACUGAUUUUAAUAAUUUCUCAGUGGAUAGCAUAUCCCAGACCCUAUAGGUUUGAGCUGUCGGAAGGUUAGACGAAACAAUUUAGUGAUAAUUUGUGGUAUUUACAUAAACAUAAGUACUUGACUGAAGAUUCUAUCUAUCUAUAGCAUAAUGUAACGUUGUAUAUCCAAAAAUCUGUUUCAGAAAACACACAAAAUGCAGUCCCGGGGUGGAAAAUGCAGACCCCAACCCCCUAGCAUCACGUAAUGCAACAUCACACCAAACAUUUUAUCGCCAACAACCAUCUGUCAUCUUUCCGACUUUCCACACAUAUUAUGGUCACUUUUUGUAGAUGCCCCUCACAGAUGACUUAUUAAAAAAGGUCCCGACCCAAACUCAAUUUAAAUAAGUUCGAACAUUUUAGAGUUAAACCUGCCAAGAUCAAUGAUUAUAUCAAGAUUUACUAUCUCGCAUGUGCAACAAACGGCAUUGUUGCAACUUGCAACAAAAACCAAUUUUAAUGCAUGUUAAAAAUGCUCACACAUAAGUAACCAAACAUGAGACCACAUAGUCGGUAAACAAUUCUUCCUAACAUGAAUUGAUAUCAGUUUUUGUUGGAAAUCAGUUCUACUUAAUAAUGAAAAAGAUCACGAAUGCAAAUUGUUUUGCUUUAAUUUUAUAGGGCAUGGAGUUUCUCUAAAGAAGUGAAGAAUCUACAAUUAAAAGAUGAUGCUUCAAAAAAGUGAAUCAAUGCAAUUUUAUAAUGAUUUAAUACAUUUAUGUACAACUGAACAUUUGUACACGUGGAAGGGCACGUGAUAAUAUAAUCGUAAAUGCUAUGUAUAUGUGAAAUAAAAUAAUAAAAACAUAAUUUGC